GGCCCCCAAGCUGAGAACCGGGAGCCGGAGGAAAUCAUAGCGAAAUCUCAACCUGAUGUAGCCCCAUCAGCAUCACACACACACUCAGAGCAAAAUGGCCUGCUCUUCAAUGUAGCUUAGUUUAGUUCAAUUGUCCUGCCCACCCCCUCCUGACCCUCCUGCCGCUGAGGGGUGGUAUUUGAAAGAACAGGUUCUUUCCUCUCUUCUCCUUGGGACAGCAACAGCACAGAGAGUGGGCCGCCAUCUCUUACUGCCCACUCAACCGUUGCUGGGGACUGAUUCUUUCAGCUCUACAUAGAAUUCAAGAACUAUAUUUGGAUCUGCUUCAGAGCAGUAAUCCCCACAGCCUUAAAACAUGCAAAAUAAAAAUAAAUUAAUCAUCCAUCAGCAUGGAUAACCAAUGAGCUGGAACCAGUAAGAUGUGGCUGGGGAAGGGGGCUUCUCAUCUGUCAGCUGGGGAGCCUCAUGGGGCCUUACAUGGACUCAGCUUCUUACCAGUUCCAGAAGAGCACCCAAACGGCCCUGGGAUUUUCAACUCUGAAGCAUAAGGCAAGUUAAUGAAGCACCCAAUUCACACCAGCUUUUAUCUGUCAGAGAAACACCAGCAAGCAAGGUAGAGACAACAAGCCAAACCCUGAUGUGCAAGUAUGAACUUCAUGUUAAUUAGGAAUCGGAAGAAUGUGUGGGUUUCUCUAAUGCACUCAUCAUACGAAGCCAGCUGAUUCAAAUGCUCUCAACCUGAGCUUCGGGUCAUUUGUGUUAGCUGUAAGGCCAUCUGAGGCAGAUGCAUUGAACCUGACCUUGAGAGUAUCCUUGACCACUGGACCAAGAGGCCAGAGACUCUACAAGUGUGCUCAGGCCAGAUGGCUAACUCAACUAGUGCCUGGCAGGAAGACUCAAGAUGCCAGCUUCUCCCCUAAACCAUGUGAACAUUCAACCAUUUUAAACUAUAAAAACAGCAAUUUCAACCAAAACACUGGACCUUUGCCUAUUUUACUGGAAGUUUCUCUCUUAGAGUAUGAUGAAAAGAGGAUUGGUUGUAAGAGACCUGGCUGCAAGGCUCACCUCCACUAAGUAGCCAUAGACAUUUUGGCCACUAAUGUGCUGUGAGUCACCUUAUUCCUCUGGUCCACAGCUUCUUCAUCUGGGAAAGGAAGACAUUGGAUUGUAAAGUAAGAAUAGCCCACAUUUUUUAGCAUUUGCAAUAUGCUAGGCAAUGUGCUAAUUGCUUGAUUAU
rnacentral:lncRNA from 1 species